rnacentral:rRNA from 1 species
UACGGAGGGUGCAAACGUUGCUCGGAAUUAUUGGGCGUAAAGCGCACGUAGGCGGUCCAGCAAGUCGGGUGUGAAAGCCCUCGGCUUAACCGAGGAAGUGCAUUCGAAACUACAGGACUUGAAUACUGGAGAGGAUCGCGGAAUUCCCGGUGUAGAGGUGAAAUUCGUAGAUAUCGGGAGGAACACCAGUGGCGAAGGCGGCGAUCUGGACAGAUAUUGACGCUGAUGUGCGAAAGCGUGGGGAGCAAACAGG